CUAUGUGUUGUUGGGUAGGGGAGCGUUCUGUAAGCCUGCGAAGGUGGCCUGUGAGGGUUGCUGGAGGUAUCAGAAGUGCGAAUGCUGACAUAAGUAACGAUAAAGCGGGUGAAAAGCCCGCUCGCCGGAAGACCAAGGGUUCCUGUCCAACGUUAAUCGGGGCAGGGUGAGUCGACCCCUAAGGCGAGGCCGAAAGGCGUAGUCGAUGGGAAACGGGUUAAUAUUCCCGUACUUGGUGUUACUGCGAAGGGGGGACGGAGAAGGCUAUGUUGGCCGGGCGACGGUUGUCCCGGUUUAAGCGUGUAGGUGUGUGUUCCAGGUAAAUCCGGUUCACUUUAACACUGAGGCGUGACGACGAGGCACUACGGUGCUGAAGCAACAAAUGCCCUGCUUCCAGGAAAAGCCUCUAAGCAUCAGGUAACAUCAAAUCGUACCCCAAACCGACACAGGUGGUCAGGUAGAGAAUACCAAGGCGCUUGAGAGAACUCGGGUGAAGGAACUAGGCAAAAUGGUGCCGUAACUUCGGGAGAAGGCACGCUGACACGUAGGUGAAGUGAUUUACUCAUGGAGCUGAAGUCAGUCGAAGAUACCAGCUGGCUGCAACUGUUUAUUAAAAACACAGCACUGUGCAAACACGAAAGUGGACGUAUACGGUGUGACGCCUGCCCGGUGCCGGAAGGUUAAUUGAUGGGGUCAGCGCAAGCGAAGCUCCUGAUCGAAGCCCCGGUAAACGGCGGCCGUAACUAUAACGGUCCUAAGGUAGCGAAAUUCCUUGUCGGGUAAGUUCCGACCUGCACGAAUGGCGUAAUGAUGGCCAGGCUGUCUCCACCCGAGACUCAGUGAAAUUGAACUCGCUGUGAAGAUGCAGUGUACCCGCGGCAAGACGGAAAGACCCCGUGAACCUUUACUAUAGCUUGACACUGAACAUUGAGCCUUGAUGUGUAGGAUAGGUGGGAGGCUUUGAAGCGUGGACGCCAGUCUGCGUGGAGCCGACCUUGAAAUACCACCCUUUAAUGUUUGAUGUUCUAACGUGGACCCGUAAUCCGGGUUGCGGACAGUGUCUGGUGGGUAGUUUGACUGGGGCGGUCUCCUCCUAAAGAGUAACGGAGGAGCACGAAGGUUGGCUAAUCCUGGUCGGACAUCAGGAGGUUAGUGCAAUGGCAUAAGCCAGCUUGACUGCGAGCGUGACGGCGCGAGCAGGUGCGAAAGCAGGUCAUAGUGAUCCGGUGGUUCUGAAUGGAAGGGCCAUCGCUCAACGGAUAAAAGGUACUCCGGGGAUAACAGGCUGAUACCGCCCAAGAGUUCAUAUCGACGGCGGUGUUUGGCACCUCGAUGUCGGCUCAUCACAUCCUGGGGCUGAAGUAGGUCCCAAGGGUAUGGCUGUUCGCCAUUUAAAGUGGUACGCGAGCUGGGUUUAGAACGUCGUGAGACAGUUCGGUCCCUAUCUGCCGUGGGCGCUGGAGAACUGAGGGGGGCUGCUCCUAGUACGAGAGGACCGGAGUGGACGCAUCACUGGUGUUCGGGUUGUCAUGCCAAUGGCACUGCCCGGUAGCUAAAUGCGGAAGAGAUAAGUGCUGAAAGCAUCUAAGCACGAAACUUGCCCCGA
rnacentral:rRNA from 1 species